GUCUACGGCCAUGCCACACUGAACAAGCCUGAUCCCAUCCAAUCUCAGAAGUUAAGCAGGAUUGGGCCUGGUUAGUACUUGGAUGGGAGACCACCUAGGAAGACCAGAUGCUGUAGGUG
rnacentral:rRNA from 1 species